rnacentral:rRNA from 1 species
GAUGAACGCUGGCGGCGUGCCUAAUACAUGCAAGUCGUACGGAAAGGCCCUUCGGGGUACUCGAGUGGCGGACGGCUGAGUAACGCGUGGGAACGUGCCACAAAGUGAGGGAUAACGCACCGAAAGGUGUGCUACUACCGCAUAUGGUCCGCGGAUUAAAGCUUCGGCGCUUUGGGAGCGGCCCGCGUAUGAUUAGAUAGUUGGUGAGGUAAUGGCUCACCAAGUCGACGAUCGUUAGCUGGUCUGAGAGGAUGAUCAGCCAGACUGGGACUGAGACACGGCCCAGACUCCUACGGGAGGCAGCAGUAAGGAAUCUUCCACAAUGGGGGCAACCCUGAUGGAGCAACGCCGCGUGCAGGAUGAAGGUUUUCGGAUCGUAAACUGCUUUUAGAAGUGAAGAAUAUGACGGUAACUGAUGAAUAAGGAUCGGCUAACUACGUGCCAGCCGCCGCCGUAA